rnacentral:rRNA from 1 species
GACGAACGCUGGCGGCGUGCCUAAUACAUGCAAGUAGAACGCUGAAGGAGGGGCUUGCUUCUCUGGAUGAGUUGCGAACGGGUGAGUAACGCGUAGGUAACCUGCCUGGUAGCGGGGGAUAACUAUUGGAAACGAUAGCUAAUACCGCAUAAGAGUAGAUGUCGCAUGACAUUUGCUUAAAAGGUGUAAUUGCAUCACUACCAGAUGGACCUGCGUUGUAUUAGCUAGUUGGUGAGGUAACGGCUCACCAAGGCAACGAUACAUAGCCGACCUGAGAGGGGGAUCGGCCACACUGGGACUGAGACACGGCCCAGACUCCUACGGGAGGCAGCAGUAGGGAAUCUUCGGCAAUGGACGGAAGUCUGACCGAGCAACGCCGCGUGAGUGAAGAAGGGUUUCGGAUCGUAAAGCUCUGUUGUAAGAGAAGAACGAGUGUGAGAGUGGAAAGUUCACACUGUGACGGUAUCUUACCAGAAAGGGACGGCUAACUACGUG